GAUGAACGCUGGCGGCGUGCCUAAUACAUGCAAGUCGAGCGAACAGAUAAGGAGCUUGCUCCUCUGACGUCAGCGGCGGACGGGUGAGUAACACGUGGGUAACCUACCUAUAAGACUGGUAUAACUCCGGGAAACCGGUGCUAAUGACGGAUCAUAUUUAGAACCGCAUGGUUCUAAAGUGAAAGAUGGUUUUGCUAUCACUUAUAGAUGGACCCGGGCCGUAUUAGCUAGUUGGUAGGGUAACGGCUUACCAAGGCAACGAUACGUAGCCGACCUGAGAGGGGGAUCGCCCGCAUGGGAGCGGGAACGCGGACCAUGCGCCUACGGGAGGCAGCAGUAGGGAAUCGUCCGCAAUAGGCGAAAGCCUUACGGAGCAGCGCCACGUGAGUGAUAGAGGUCCUCGGAGCGUAAAACUCGGUUAUGAGUGAUGAACAAAUGUGUAAGGAACUGUACACGUCUUGACGGUACCUAAUCAGAAAGCCACGGCUAACUACGUG
rnacentral:rRNA from 1 species